AAAAUCGGCAUGGCCAGCCCGAGGAACCCAGCGAACUCUGCGGAAAGACCCUGGAGAGCAGGCAGGGAGCACAGUGAGGCCCCUUGGUAAAGGAGGGGAUGCAGCCCACCCACACCGCACAGGGGUGGCAUCUCGGUUUCCUUGAGGCGAGUGGCUCACCUCCUGGCUCCUUCCUCAGCUGCCACAGCUGAGCGUCACACUUGGACAGCACAUGCCCUUCAAUCCUUUAAAUGCUCUGCAAUCCCAUCCAAUUCAAUCUGGAGUGAGCAUGAAGUGAGACACGUGCUCUCGUGUGUCACAGGAGAGACGCUCAGGGCUCUCUGCAUGCAGAUAGCCAAAAUGCACAUGCUCCUGACCCCCAGCAGACUUACUUCAGGAAACAAAGAUGGGGUGCAGGAGGGAGAGAGAUGCCCUAUGACCUUGGAGCUCAGGGGAUGGAGAGCCAGCCUUUACUGGAGCUGGAGAAAAGGGUCCCCAACGAGGGAGUAUAACAUGAGGCAGACAAGGGCUCCCCGAUCAUCUUCUUGGAUCUGAGAGGCAGGGCUGAUUGACAUGGCCCUCCUGAGUCGCGAGUGAUUUCUUCUGCAAACAAGGAAGAGGAGGGAGACACCAUGAACCAGGACAAAAGGCUGCA
rnacentral:lncRNA from 1 species